UAGCUAUUUGGGUUUUUCCUCCACUAUCAUACUUCUAUUUUAUGUCUUCUCUUAACUCACGUCUUCAGAGCAGUUAAACAUGAUGGACUAAUAUCACUGAGAUGGAUAUUUUGCUGCUUACCUGCUUUCCUCUGGAUGAGGAUACAGGGUAUCCAGGUCUUGAUCCAGGAUGGGUUAAAUAACUCUGACUUAUUGGAUGUGGACAGAGAAGCUGAUUCUAAGACACCUGAUGAGAUGAGUUUGGGAUUUACCCCUGCACUCGGACAAGGACUUCUGAAGCUUCAACAGAUAGAAAGCUACUGAAACAGAGAGAGCUGCAAGAUUCUUCCUCAGCUGCAGAUGACCCCAAUUUUUACCUUGCCCCAGGGAGAAGACAAUGUUGUGCUUCACUGGAACUUUAAUUUUGGGGACUUCAAAGUUCUUCAGAAACAUAAAGGAAUUUAGCCUCACAUUCUUCUCUGAGGAAGCUAGAGAAGUCAACUAGAAGAAUGACUAUUUCAUCUUUGUUUCCAGCUAAUUAGGAGGAACUGACUGAGGAUCUAAAGGAGGAAAUGGCUCCAGAUACCUGUCUCAUUUUCUCCAGACACAUCUGGGAAAUUGUAUGAUUUGUGGAAUUGUGCUCAGAGAGUAAUAAAGAAGCCUUUGGUUAAAAAGUGUUUUAACUUAGACUUGACAAAGUAAAUGAAGUGGUUGUUGUCAAAUCAGGUAAGCUGUUUCUGUUUGUUCAGGGGGGUUUUGUUUGUUAGGUUGUUGGUUUUAUUUUUUUUAAAGAAACAAGCAAGCAUGUAAUUUAAAAUGGCUUUAUUUCUGAGGUGAAGAUCAACAACAAAAGCCAAAAUGAUACCACGCUCACCUCACCACGUGACUGAGAGUUGCUAACUCUAAGAGUAGCUCAGACAUUGGAAAUUUCUACAGACUCUUACCAAGCAUGGCAAAAUUCUUGGAAAAUCAAAUAUGCAAGCUUCCUCCAAAUAAGGACACUUCAGGUAAUACCCAUAUGCAUGCAUAUCACAUGCAUUUACAU